CCUACGGGUGACAGCAGUGGGGAAUAUUGCACAAUGGGGGAAACCCUGAUGCAGCGACGCCGCGUGAGUGAAGAAGUAUCUCGGUACGUAAAGCUCUAUCAGCAGGGGAGAAAAUGACGUUACCUGACUAAGAAGCCCCGGCUAACUACGUGCCAGCAGCCGCGGUAAUACGUAGGGGGCCAGCGUUAUCCGGAUUUACUGGGUGUAAAGGGAGCGUAGACGGCAGCACAAGUCUGGAGUGAAAUCCCGGGGCUUAACCCCGGAACUGCUUUGGAAACUGGGCGGCUGGAGUGCAGGAGGGGCAAGCGGAAUUCCUAGUGUAGCGGUGAAAUGCGUAGAUAUUAGGAGGAACACCGGUGGCGAAGGCGGCUUACUGGACUGGAACUGACGUUGAGGCUCGAAAGCGUGGGGAGCAAACAGGAUUAGAUACCCCAGUAGUC
rnacentral:rRNA from 1 species